rnacentral:rRNA from 1 species
UACGUAGGGUGCGAGCGUUUGUCCGGAAUUAUUGGGCGUAAAGCGCACGUAGGCGGCUUGGCAAGUCGGAUGUGAAAUCCCUCGGCUCAACCAAGGAAGUGCAUCCGAAACUGCUGAGCUUGAGUACUUAAGAGGAUCGCGGAAUUCCCGGUGUAGAGGUGAAAUUCGUAGAUAUUGGGAAGAACACCGGUGGCGAAGGCGGCGACCUGGUCCUUGACUGACGCUGAGGCGCGAAAGCGUGGAGAGCAAACAGG